rnacentral:lncRNA from 10 species
UAAAGCAAAAAUACAAAGAUACAUGUAAACACACACUCAUAGAGCUUGUAUUUGCACGGCCUAUGUUUCUGGAAGAAGACACAGAAACUGGUACCAGUGGCUUCCUCUGUGGAAGGGAAAUUGGGUAUGUGGGGUCUGGUGAGAGAAUUUUCACCAUACACUCAUUCCCAUAUGUAUGUCUCAUCUAUUGUAAAUAAACAAAUAAUUAAAUGUUUUGCAAAGAAGAAGGGAAUUAUCAACAAUUUUCAAAAUGUGUGUUUUCAAAACUAACUUCAAUCUAAAUCUAAUUGAAACCUAGGCUGGGCAUGGUGGCUAACGCCUAUAGUCCCAGCACUUUAGGAGGCAGAGGUGGGAGGAUCACUUGAGCCCAGGAGUUCAAAACCAGCCUGCACAACACAGCGAGACCUCAUUCUCCACAAAAAUCAUUUUUGGAACCUGGGAGGCAGAGGUUGCAAUGAGCCGAGAUCACGCCACAGCACUUCAACCUGGACAACAGAGCAAGACUGUCUCAAAAAAAAAAAAAAAAAGAAAUCUGGCUGGGCCUAGGCCAAGCUAACUAUGGGAGGAAUUUAGUUUAUAGUUUAACGUUGAAAAAGGAUGACAGCAGUCCCUUCUCAGAAGUGACCCCUCUGGGGACUAAAACCACCUUUGUAAGACUAAUAAAAGGCCACAAUGAUAGGAUUAUGGGAGGGGCAUGAAUUCCACUAAAAUGCAGGCAUAGUUAAAUGAUAACCAGCCGUUCUUCUGUAAUUCCCUGAUGCUCAGGAGUCAUGUAGCCAGAGUUCACAAGAUCUGUAACUUCCCCAGUUGCUUCUGUAGACAACAUCACUAUUUUCAAAACCUAAGAUUGGUCUUUUUCAGAUAUUUUUCAGACAUUUGCAUGUGGGCAGACCAAAGGAAGCCGCCUGGAUUGUGACUUAUACCAAGGAGCUGACUCACCCCAUCCUGAUGAGAUGGGAUAGUUCCCUUGACCCCCCUCACGGGCAGGAACUGGAAUGGCUCUUUUAACUCAGCCCACCGCUGACCACUCCUCGUGGGAGGGGGCACGUGAGCGAGUGAGUGCAGUAAGGAGCGAACAAAUGCCGGAACCAGCCAGUCACUCCUUUCUGGUGGGAGCAGGCUGUGUGCAGCCCCGCAGCAGCGUCCAAGAGUGUUACGACCGAUGCUUUUUCAGCUCUGCCAUCCAGGAACAGCCAAGUACCAACCAGCUCAGCGGAGGGUCAAGGUGGCAGCCCCUACCCGCUCAGCACCCAGGUUCUGUCCAUCCAGCAUCCAGGAAGAAUCAGGCCACUUGAAUGUCUGAAGUUAGCCGCGUCUAUCUGUAGUCUCCGACGCUCAGAUGCUUCUCUGCUCGCCACUCAGCUGCUUGUAUCCUCAAUACUUAGCUGCUUGUGUUGCUCUGCCAGCUGAAGUCUUUUAUGGGCACAGGAUGGGGCGGAGCAGGCCAAAAAGGCAACAUUUGGGUGGGAAAACGGGGUCAGCUGUUUUCAUUUAGGGCUAGAGUUCCAGGAUCAAGGGUGGGGUUUACCUGGGAGCCCAGCUCUUCUGUAUCACUGUGACCCCCCACCCAGAAACUGACUCAGUGCGGAGAAGACAGUUUGGACACUUCUAUUAUUUCAUACCCAGCCAGCAGCGCCCCUUCCCUAGCCCCCAACACCACAUUAUUCUUAAAAACCCUAACUUCCAAGUUCUUGGGGAGGUGGAUUUGAGAAAAAUCUCCUAUCCUUCCACUUGGCUGACUCAUGAUAAACUCUUUCUCUGCUGCAACACCACUGUCUCAGUGAAUUGACUUUAUCUGUGCAGCAGACAAGAAGAAUCUGUUAGGCUGUAACACUGGGACAAGUAGGACUGAGGCCUCCACCUCUGCCCUUGUCUGUGGCUGAAUUGUUAGGCUUUUCAGUUGAAAUCAACAAAAAGCAUCCCUAGACCUAAACAGAAAAGGAGUUUAUUGGAACGUCACAGGUACCUCCCAGAACUAUCAGGAAGGCAGGAUAACCAGGCUCAGGAAACAAGCUGGGUCAAGGCAACUACAGCAUGAACAGGGGCAAAGCUCACUGUAGAGCUGGUCUGGUGAGGACAUAGCCUCCUCAGGCCCUGCAGGACAAACACUCAUGCCAGCACGGCCAGCACCACUGGCCCUGGAUGCUGGAGUCCGCUGCCACCCCAGGAUUGAGGAUCUUGUUAUUUCCUUGUUGGCCUCACUUGCCUUCAAACCAAAGUCUGAGGGGAGUUGGUUCCCCAGCUUAUCCUUGGUCACAGGUUCCCGAUCAGCUGCAAGGGAUGCUGGGAAUGUACAGUUCCGGCUUUGGGGCCCCUGCAGAAGGUGGAAGCCUCUACCCGCCUGCAAACAUGCAUACGGCUUGUAGGGACCAAGGGAAACUUCCCCUUCGCCCUCUGAAGGUUUGCUGAAAAAUCAACUCACAAAAGGUAGAUUAAUUGGAGAAAAGGCGUAUAAAUGUUAUUAAAGUGUACUUGGGGGAGAACCACAGAAUGAUUGCCCACCUCCCAGUGUGGUUGUGAAGCUUACAUACCCUACUGGCAAAACAGGUUAUGGGAGGAGGGAGAAGAGGAGUUCUGUUGAGGGGACUACUAGGAAGAAUGAAUGGAUCGGGGAACGGAGAUGAACUUGUACAUUAUUUUGUGAAAGAGUUUUUUCAGGUGAGGUUACAUUCUUGGUUUACAGAGAAGAGAAGAAAAAAACAAUUGUUACUUCUGGUGGGUCUGGAUUUUAGGCCGAUAAAGGAACUUCACUUUGGGAAAGAUGGUGGUGAGCAGGCAAGGUCAGAGAGAUCUUGCGGCUCCUUGAGUUCUGUGUGUCAAAGCACCAUAUGCUGGUCUGAGUGCAUUGGUGUUUACAACUAAUUGAUCACAACCGGUUACAGAUUUCUUUGUACCUUCUCCACUCCCACUGCUUCACUGACCAGCCUUAAAAAAUAAAAAAUAGGCCAGGCGCGGUGGCUCAUGCCUGUAAUCCCAGCAUUUUGGGAGGCUGGGGUGGGCGGAUCACGAGGUCAGGAGAUAAGAGACCAUCCUGGCUAACACAGUGAAACCCCGUCUCUACUAAAAAUGCAAAAAAUUAGCCGGGUGUGGUGGCGGGCGCCUGUAGUCCCAGCUACUCUGGAGGCUGAGACAGGAGAAUGGCGUGAACCCAGGAGGCGGAGCUUGCAGUGAGCUGAGAUCGCACCACUGCACACCAGCCUGGGCGACAGAGCGAGACUCCGUCUCAAAAACAAAAAAAGACAGGGUUUUGCCAUGUUGGCCAGGCUGGUCUCAAACUCCUAACCUCAACUGAUCUGCCUACCUCAGCCUCCCAAACUGCUGGGAUUAUAGGCGUGAGCCACAGAGUCGGCCCUAGGCCAUCUUAAUUACAAUAGUUUGAAAAUAAAUCUUGGCCGGGUGUGGUGGCUCAUGCCUGUAAU